rnacentral:tRNA from 1 species
GCUCAUAUAGCUCAGUUGGUAGAGUGCGUCCUUGGUAAGGACGAGGUCACCGGUUCAAAUCCGGUUAUGAGCUCCA